rnacentral:rRNA from 1 species
GAGGAAUAUUGGUCAAUGGACGAGAGUCUGAACCAGCCAAGUAGCGUGAAGGAUGACUGCCCUAUGGGUUGUAAACUUCUUUUAUACGGGAAUAAAGUGAGGCACGUGUGCCUUUUUGUAUGUACCGUAUGAAUAAGGAUCGGCUAACUCCGUGCCAGCAGCCGCGGUAAUACGGAGGAUCCGAGCGUUAUCCGGAUUUAUUGGGUUUAAAGGGAGCGUAGGCGGACGCUUAAGUCAGUUGUGAAAGUUUGCGGCUCAACCGUAAAAUUGCAGUUGAUACUGGGUGUCUUGAGUACAGUAGAGGCAGGCGGAAUUCGUGGUGUAGCGGUGAAAUGCUUAGAUAUCACGAAGAACUCCGAUUGCGAAGGCAGCUUGCUGGACUGUAACUGACGCUGAUGCUCGAAAGUGUGGGUAUCAAACAGGAUUAGAUACCCUGGUAGUCCACACAGUAAACGAUGAAUACUCGCUGUUUGCGAUAUACAGUAAGCGGCCAAGCGAAAGCGUUAAGUAUUCCACCUGGGGAGUACGCCGGCAACGGUGAAACUCAAAGGAAUUGACGGGGGCCCGCACAAGCGGAGGAACAUGUGGUUUAAUUCGAUGAUACGCGAGGAACCUUACCCGGGCUUGAAUUGCAACUGAAUGAUGUGGAGACAUGUCAGCCGCAAGGCAGUUGUGAAGGUGCUGCAUGGUUGUCGUCAGCUCGUGCCGUGAGGUGUCGGCUUAAGUGCCAUAACGAGCGCAACCCUUAUCGAUAGUUACCAUCAGGUUAUGCCGGGGACUCUGUCGAGACUGCCGUCGUAAGAUGUGAGGAAGGUGGGGAUGACGUCAAAUCAGCACGGCCCUUACGUCCGGGGCUACACACGUGUUACAAUGGGGGGUACAGAAGGCAGCUACACGGCGACGUGAUGCUAAUCCCGAAAGCCUCUCUCAGUUCGGAUUGGAGUCUGCAACCCGACUCCAUGAAGCUGGAUUCGCUAGUAAUCGCGCAUCAGCCACGGCGCGGUGAAUACGUUCCCG